GUUCAAAAACUGGUUGGGGGAUUAAGGGCUUCAGCAAAGAUAGUCACCGGAUCGAUGAUCCGAAGCUACCACGACGCUUCUAGCAGAGUUCUCUGCAAGACUACCGGAGCGGAUCGUCAGGAAAACGAAGUUGGAUUUCGUCCCAAAUUAAGGGAUGUUGUGUAGGAGGCCCUGCGGGAGUUAGGCUAGUGUUGCAUAGAGGCUUUUCAAAGUUAAUGUGAUCCAGGUAGGCGAGCAGACCAGGCUCGCAGGUAGAGGGGCGUCUGUAGUGCCCUAUCAGCGAAGUGAGUAUCAUUUUUGGGAGCGUUUUUGUAUACCCUAGCUAGUUGAGGGUAUUUUUAGGGAAGAGAUAUAUGUGUAUAUUUUGGGAUACAUGUAGUACUCUGGUAUUGUGUGGUAUUAGUUUUGUAUUGUAUAAAAUGGUUUAUGGUUAUGUUUGU